AACAACAACAAAUUAGAAGUGAUAUUUUUUUUUUUUAUUUCAAAUUGCCUAUCAUUACAAAAACAGUAGGCACCAUAAAAGAUACAUGAACCAUGAUUUCUAAAUUACACAUGAUAACAUUUCAUUCUAUAUCUAAAACAAUGGCAUGUUCCAUCUUGCUAAACAUAAAUAUUUACGUAGCAAAAAUCUAUGAUGGUUAGUUUUUAGGUGGACAUAAAACUAUUGGUAAAUCUCUAACCGUAACAAUAUCAGACAUAUUCUAUUACAUGCAAAUGAUCAGAAAUGAAUUUUUCUACUAUAAAUAUGACAGGCUGGUCCAAUCUAACUAAACAGAGGUUAAAAAUAACAAUUACAUGCAUUGUUUGUGUGCCAUAUAAUUUUUAUAUGUAAUGAUUAAAUUGAAAGACUCAAUAAACAUACUGUAUUUGAACAAAUUAAUAUGCUCAAAAAUAAAAUAGAUGUCAGCUUUAAUUGACCUCAUCCCUUGGUAUUUAAGGUUCACGUAAAGAAAGGAACUAAGCACAAGAACAAAUUUAACAUAAAAAGUUUUAUGCAAACAAAGUCCUAAAGUUUUUAUUUUUUAUUUUUCUUUCACUAGAUAAUUAAUAUUUCAAUAAAAUCCAAAUUUAUCUUGACAUCUAUCUUUCCCCCUUCCUCUUCCCAAAAAAUUAACCAAUGAUAAUGUUUUUAAACUCAUGUAAAUAAGAUUAAAAUAGAAUAAACCUUUAAUCUAACAGGAUAUUUGACAAUUUUUUUUUGUCUGUGAAAACUGGUAAGAGUAUCCAUAAGUUUACCAUUAAAAUGAUAUCUGCAUUGAAUGUUGAACACUUACAAAGAGAUUUUGUAAUGGACAAUAUACCAACAAAUUUGAAUAAUAAUGAUAUUAAAACAAAAGUGUGGUCUUGCAUUUAAUAUCACUCCUUAAUCAUACUGCACAAGACUUUAUGAAAAGUAUAAAGGGCAUUAAUAUGUCUUCUUUUGAAUGCCUUUUAUAAACAGGUUUCUCAUGUUAUUCUCAGUAGAAUAUCUUUGUAGUGUCAACAAUGGCUAUAAAUUUUGUUGACCUUUUGACCUCUUACAUUCUGCAUCCUUUCCUAUUGGUACAAAUCACACUAACCGGAUAUGAACCUUUUAACCUCUGACAUCCUGCGUCCUCUCAGUGGCAUACAUGUUAUACCAACAAAUCACACAAACUUGACAUUGACCUUUUAACCCCUGACAUCCAGCAUUCUCAAACACAUUCUCCAGUGGUACAAAUGUUAUACCAAAUAUCACACAAACCUUGUAUUGACCUUUUGACCUCUGACAUUUUGCAUCUUUUCUCAAUGGCAUACAUGUUAUACCAACAAAUCAUGCAAACCUGAUGUUGACCUUUAAACCUUUCACAUUCUGCAUGAUUCCACAUAUUCUUUCCCAAUGACAUAAAUAUGUAUAAACCAAUUUUUACACAACUCUAAAUUUCAUUUAUGAAAAAGAGAUUCUAGUGCAGCACUUUACUAAAUAUCAUGUUUUAGACUUAAACACAAAAUAUUCAAACCAUCUAUUUUGUAAUCGGGUACUUUAUACAUUUUAUCAAAAUAAAUGGCAAGCUUCUCACAUAAAAAUCUUUUAACAUAAAGCAACUCCAAUUGUAAGAAAUAUUUGAUGCAAAAUAAAAUUAUCUCUCCUUAUUUGUUGAAACACAGUACAGUUCAUUCAAAUUUUAUCUUAUUUAUAUAUUUGAGUAUAAAAAGAAAUAGAAAUUAAAGUAUACAACAAAAUGUUAAUACGAGUUAAUACUCAAAAUCUAAAAUACCCCUGAUUGUAACAUUACCUCAUAACAGUUUAGAAGGUUGCCUAUACUUGCUUACAUUCACUUCAUUUGAAAUUUGGUGGAUAGGUGUCUCAUUGGUAAUUAUACCACAUCUCCUUAUUCUUAUAUUAAAACAUAAAAUAUGAUUGGUGACAAAAACAUUUCCCUCACAGAACUUUAACAGAAGUAACAUACAUGCAAACAUGAAAGACAACUCUUUAAAUCUUCAAAGGGAGGUAACUUUCUACCAUCCCAAUUGAAAACAGAUCUUUGACAUUUAUCAAUAUAAAGUACAUUAAUUUUUAACAUUUAUUCCUAACAACAAUUUUUAUUGUUUGUACAAACACAACAAUAUAUACAAACUUAAUAUAAAUUCUAGAGAUUUUCUACAAAAAAGACAUCACAUUUAAAACCAUUCACAAUAAAACAAUUUCCCCGUAACAACAUGACAUUUUUUUUUAAGAAUUUCAUAAAACAAAUAAUAAUAACAAUAUAUAAAUGCAUUUGUAACAUGAACAUGAAAUAAAAAUUUACAACAAAACUAACAAUUGUGCUUUAUAUGGGACUAGAUAAAAACAAGAUUUGCACAAAUAUCAUCUGACAACAAAAGAUCAAGUCCAAAAGUUUCAUAUACAAAAUGAAAUCUCCUUGAACGUGUAAAACUUGUCAUACAAAAUGGAAAACAAAUGAGUAUGAUAUAAAAAAUGUAUGAAUUGAAAAAAAUGGCACCUGAUCAAAUUCAAAUACACUAAAUUUUAGUGUAAAUUUAUUCCAAUAUAUAUCAAUAGUGCUUCUUAAAACAGAAACUACUAAAAAAUGUUCCAACAAAGUAUUACUUUGCAAUUUAUCAAUGGACUAUUAAUGAAUUUUACAGCCCUUGUAAAUUGCAUCUUACCUAGAAAAGCUAAAAAUUGUAUAAAUCUACAAUUGAAAUUGUA
rnacentral:lncRNA from 1 species